AUGAACGCUAGCUACAGGCUUAACACAUGCAAGUCGAGGGGCAGCAUUUCAGUUUGCUUGCAAACUGGAGAUGGCGACCGGCGCACGGGUGAGUAACACGUAUCCAACCUGCCGAUAACUCGGGGAUAGCCUUUCGAAAGAAAGAUUAAUACCCGAUGGUAUAAUCAGACCGCAUGGUCUUGUUAUUAAAGAAUUUCGGUUAUCGAUGGGGAUGCGUUCCAUUAGGCAGUUGGUGAGGUAACGGCUCACCAAACCUUCGAUGGAUAGGGGUUCUGAGAGGAAGGUCCCCCACAUUGGAACUGAGACACGGUCCAAACUCCUACGGGAGGCAGCAGUGAGGAAUAUUGGUCAAUGGGCGCAGGCCUGAACCAGCCAAGUAGCGUGAAGGAUGACUGCCCUAUGGGUUGUAAACUUCUUUUAUAUGGGAAUAAAGUUUUCCACGUGUGGAAUUUUGUAUGUACCAUAUGAAUAAGGAUCGGCUAACUCCGUGCCAGCAGCCGCGGUAAUACGGAGGAUCCGAGCGUUAUCCGGAUUUAUUGGGUUUAAAGGGAGCGUAGGUGGACAGUUAAGUCAGUUGUGAAAGUUUGCGGCUCAACCGUAAAAUUGCAGUUGAUACUGGCUGUCUUGAGUACAGUAGAGGUGGGCGGAAUUCGUGGUGUAGCGGUGAAAUGCUUAGAUAUCACGAAGAACUCCGAUUGCGAAGGCAGCUCACUGGACUGCAACUGACACUGAUGCUCGAAAGUGUGGGUAUCAAACAGGAUUAGAUACCCUGGUAGUCCACACAGUAAACGAUGAAUACUCGCUGUUGGCGAUACACAGUCAGCGGCCAAGCGAAAGCAUUAAGUAUUCCACCUGGGGAGUACGCCGGCAACGGUGAAACUCAAAGGAAUUGACGGGGGCCCGCACAAGCGGAGGAACAUGUGGUUUAAUUCGAUGAUACGCGAGGAACCUUACCCGGGCUUAAAUUGCAUUUGAAUAUAUUGGAAACAGUAUAGCCGUAAGGCAAAUGUGAAGGUGCUGCAUGGUUGUCGUCAGCUCGUGCCGUGAGGUGUCGGCUUAAGUGCCAUAACGAGCGCAACCCUUAUCUUUAGUUACUAACAGGUCAUGCUGAGGACUCUAGAGAGACUGCCGUCGUAAGAUGUGAGGAAGGUGGGGAUGACGUCAAAUCAGCACGGCCCUUACGUCCGGGGCUACACACGUGUUACAAUGGGGGGUACAGAAGGCAGCUACCUGGUGACAGGAUGCUAAUCCCAAAAGCCUCUCUCAGUUCGGAUCGAAGUCUGCAACCCGACUUCGUGAAGCUGGAUUCGCUAGUAAUCGCGCAUCAGCCAUGGCGCGGUGAAUACGUUCCCGGGCCUUGUACACACCGCCCGUCACACCAUGAGAGCCGGGGGGACCCGAAGUCGGUAGUCUAACCGCAAGGAGGACGCCGCCGAAGGUAAAACUGGUGAUUGGGGUG
rnacentral:rRNA from 1 species